rnacentral:lncRNA from 1 species
CGCGGCGCAAAGUGGGCCCCAGUCUCCACCCCCACCUCUCCAGCUCGCGCUCUCUCUCUUGUUCCUUUUUCUGCUUCUCCCUUUACUGUCAAUCCCCAGGGGAGGGAAAGCUUAGGACAUGCUAUGUUUUUGGGCCAAUCCCACAUAUCCUAUCAAUGUAAAUUAAUGCUAAUAGUUUAAUAAAGUACUACGGAGAGGUAUUUGCGUUUUUAAAAAGUGAUUAUCCAAAAAAAAAAUGUGAUUAUCUGGGCAGCCCAGGUGGCUCAGCGGUUUAGCGCCACCUUUGGCCCAGGGCGUGACCUCGGGUCUAAGGAUCGAGUCCUGCGUCGGGCUCCCUGCAUGGAGCCUGCUUCUCUCUCUCUCUCUCUCUCUCUCUCUCACUUUCUCUGUGUGUGUGUGUCCCUCAUGAAUAAAUAAAAUCUUUAAAAUAAAAAGUGAUUAUCCAAAGAAUGUUUCUCUAAUGGAGAAUUUCCGGCAACAAUUAUGUAAUAAUAAGGUUGAGCCUUCCCUACAUCCUUCCAAAUGCGCCAUUGCUUUGCCUGCGUGCAGCCUCUUGGCUCACUGAAAUACCAAAGAGCAUUAAAACAACAAAAAUAACAACAACAAAAAAAAAAACAAAAAAAACCCAAACCUCCAAAACAUCUACUCAAUUUAAAAAUAACCUCUUACAUGAAUUAAACCUAAGUACAUCAUCUUUUCCCUUUUAUCUGUCCUUCAAUUUCAUUUUUCCUCUUAUAUCCAUCUGAUCUGUUCUCUAAGAUCUCAACUUUAUCUCCAAAAAAAUCUUUCUCCUUCACAAGCUUAAUUAUUCUUAAUUUUGUUCUCAUUCCUUCAUUGUUCCUGUUCUAAAACUGAAGUACAUUCUAGAAACAUUCUAAACAUUCCCUGAUUUCCUGAACAAAUCUGAUUCCUAGACACACAAGGUUCUAGGUUUAGGACUAACUAUCUUCUUAAUCUUUUAGAAUAAUUUAAUGCAAUUGUAUCUUUAACUUAGGCAUUUUCCAUUAUAGUAAGGCUUCUAUGUCUUUGCUUUUUUCUAUCUCUCUUUUUUAAGAUUUAUUUUUUUUAGAGUGGGAAAGGGGCAGAGGGAGAGAGUCCCAAGCAGACUCCCUGCUGAGAACAGAGCCUGCAGUGGGGCUCAAUCUCACGAAUCUGAGAUCCUGACCUGAGCCAAAACCAAGAGGUGGAUGUUCAACUGACUGAACUACCCAGGUGCUCCUUCACUGCUUGUUUUUUUAAUAAAAAACUGGUGUGGAUAUCUGCAAACCUGGAGGCUUAGAAAUCUAAAGCCAUGGUCAGAGCCUAUUAAAUUCACAAAUCCAGUAAAUUCUGGAUCACAUGGUGGGAGAUUACUCUUGGGACUCUUGACAGGCCAUAUGACUUCAAGAUUAGUCUUUGGGUACUGCCUACAUAGGCUGGUAUCAACAGUUGAAAACUAGAACUUCAAACUACAGUUCUCUACAGUACACAUGCUGUGUAAAGACUGACUGUAAAAGAAAUGAGAGAAUGAAAAUAUCAUCAUUUUGAAGACACUAGAAAAAAUAAUAGAUAACAAUUACAAUGAACACUAAACUAGUUAGAUAAAAGACUGAUGGAGAACUUUAUAAUGGUGCAUGGACUGAUACCUGAAUGGACUAUUAGCUCUAAAAUCUCUAAAACUGGCACAUGGGGUAUUAUAUGCCUGAUAUGAUGCAACAACAACAGUACUUAUAGAUUAUUCUUGCAAAAAAAAUUGUUUGAACACAAAUUUACUGGAAUUUCUUAAAUCUACCAGUAUGCAGGGAAAAUGGGUGAUAGAGGAACACGUUACAUGAUACAAAGAACAUAUGAUCAUCCAAAUUCAGAAAGGGAGAGAAAUGGCUCAGUUUCUUUAACAAAAAAGUGCCAUUUCAAAAGGAAUGGAACAGGAACUGUAUAGAUUAAAAGACCCUUAAGAACCAUGCCAACCAAAUGCAAUAUAUGGAUCUCACCUGGGACCUGAUUUAAACAAACCAACCAUAAAAGCAUUUAAGACUUACAGAAAAGUUGCCGUAGUACCAAGAAUUGCUAUAUAACCUUCACCUAACCAAAUGUUAACAAUAUACUACAUUCACUUUAGCAUUUUCUCUCUACAUAUUCACAUUGUUUUUUU